ACUCGCCGUAUGCGGGAAAACCGCUCGUACGGUGGGAACGUCAAUUGCCAACCUUAGCAAAAC
rnacentral:autocatalytically_spliced_intron from 1 species